CAAACUCCUACGGGAGGCAGCAGUAGGGAAUCUUCCACAAUGGACGCAAGUCUGAUGGAGCAACGCCGCGUGAGUGAAGAAGGCUUUCGGGUCGUAAAACUCUGUUGUUGGAGAAGAAUGGUCGGCAGAGUAACUGUUGUCGGCGUGACGGUAUCCAACCAGAAAGCCACGGCUAACUACGUGCCAGCAGCCGCGGUAAUACGUAGGUGGCAAGCGUUAUCCGGAUUUAUUGGGCGUAAAGCGAGCGCAGGCGGUUUUUUAAGUCUGAUGUGAAAGCCCUCGGCUUAACCGAGGAAGCGCAUCGGAAACUGGGAAACUUGAGUGCAGAAGAGGACAGUGGAACUCCAUGUGUAGCGGUGAAAUGCGUAGAUAUAUGGAAGAACACCAGUGGCGAAGGCGGCUGUCUGGUCUGUAACUGACGCUGAGGCUCGAAAGCAUGGGUAGCGAACAGGAUUAGAUACCCUGGUAGUCCAUGCCGUAAACGAUGAAUGCUAGGUGUUGGAGGGUUUCCGCCCUUCAGUGCCGCAGCUAACGCAUUAAGCAUUCCGCCUGGGGAGUACGACCGCAAGGUUGAAACUCAAAGGAAUUGACGGGGGCCCGCACAAGCGGUGGAGCAUGUGGUUUAAUUCGAAGCAACGCGAAGAACCUUACCAGGUCUUGACAUCUUUUGAUCACCUGAGAGAUCAGGUUUCCCCUUCGGGGGCAAAAUGACAGGUGGUGCAUGGUUGUCGUCAGCUCGUGUCGUGAGAUGUUGGGUUAAGUCCCGCAACGAGCGCAACCCUUAUGACUAGUUGCCAGCAUUUAGUUGGGCACUCUAGUAAGAUAGCCGGUGACAAACCGGAGGAAGGUGGGGAUGACGUCAAAUCAUCAUGCCCCUUAUGACCUGGGCUACACACGUGCUACAAUGGAUGGUACAACGAGUUGCGAGACCGCGAGGUCAAGCUAAUCUCUUAAAGCCAUUCUCAGUUCGGACUGUAGGCUGCAACUCGCCUACACGAAGUCGGAAUCGCUAGUAAUCGCGGAUCAGCACGCCGCGGUGAAUACGUUCCCGGGCCUUGUACACACCGCCCGUCACACCA
rnacentral:rRNA from 1 species